GGGCUGGUAGCUCAGGGGACUAGAGCACGUGGCUACGAACCACGGUGUCGGGGGUUCGAUUCCCUCCUAGCUCA
rfam:Ectocarpus siliculosus chloroplast, complete genome.